AACGAACGCUGGCGGCAUGCCUAACACAUGCAAGUCGAACGAGACCUUCGGGUCUUUUGGCGCAUGGGUGCGUAACGCGUGGGAACCUGCCCUUAGGUUCGGAAUAACUCCCCGAAUGGGGUGCUAAUACCGGAUAAUAUCUUCUGACCAAUGAUAUAUCGCCUUUGGUUGGUCGCGCGUUGGAUUAGCUUGUUGGUAGGGUCAUAGCCUACUACGGCGAGGAUCCAUAGCUGGGCUGAGAGGAUGAUCAGCGACACUGGGACUGAGACGCGGCCGAGAAUCCUACGCGAGGGAGGAGAGGGGAAUAGUGGAACGUGGCGGGAGGGAUGAAGCAGCACUGCCGGGAGAGUGAUGAAGGCCUUAGGGAUGUAAAGUUCUUGUACCCGGGAUGAUAAUGACGGUACCGGGUGAAUAAGCUCCGGCUAACUACGUG
rnacentral:rRNA from 1 species